UUGAAUUAAUUGAAAAUAAAUUUCCCCUCCCAGCGCUAAACAAAUGACGAAUUUUUUGUAUGAUAACACACACCAGCCUGCAAUAGGUUGCUAAGAUUCCAUUAAUUUAAAAAAAUCUCAUUUGAAGAUAGUUAACGGUUUCUGCAUUUCCACAAAGCGCUAGUCAGACUAGUCAGAUUACAUUCCCCUGAACUUCAGGGUCUGUGCUGAUUACUACUCAAUUAGUUUUGAUUCAAUUCACUGAAGAAAAAUGUCCAUUUCAUUAGUGUGGAGAAAUAACCAUUGGACACAAAAUAUAUUUCUCAGCAUUGCUAUGGCAACUGAGAUGACACAGCUGAGCUCAGAAUGUUAAUGCCUUCCCUGGGACUACGUUUUUAAGUCAGCAUGCGGUCAUUAAGCCUUGCUGGGUGGGGGUGGCUCCGCCACAUCGCCAUCGCAAUUGGCAGGCAGAAGAACCCAUGGCACUCCCAAGAAGGCUUGGUUCCUGCCACUCGCCUCCCCUGCCACGCCCCUGUGGGCUGGGCAUAUCAGCAAUAGCAUAGAUUGUCAUCUUGCAAGUCCCCAAGGCCCCUCUUUAUGUGACAUGCAGAAGUCCAGCUGGGCAGUGAAAAAUGCGCCAGCACACCAUUGACAGAGAAGUGAGGAGCAAGUGGUUCAGCAGUUCAGUAAAUAUGGCGGUCAACCUGAAACACUCUGCCCACUUGAGGAAGACUUGACUGUCAUCUGCACCCCGCAAGACAUAUGUUCUGCACAUUGCCUUCCUGCUCCUUCUGCGACCACAGGGAGAGGAAGCACGGCUGCUGCAAGAGCUGCCAAAAGGCAGGGAGCAAGAGCUAAUUCCACAACAAGAGCAAGCUCACAGUCGGUGAUCUCAGUGUCAGAGUCCCACUCUACCCUCUUGGGAUCCUAUGUAUCUGAGCUGCUCUAUGUUUAAUCAUCAUCAUGUCACCAUCAAAAAUAUUUAUUAAACCGCUGCAUACAUA
rnacentral:lncRNA from 1 species